rnacentral:rRNA from 1 species
UGCCAGCAGCCGCGGUAAUACGGAGGGUGCAAGCGUUAUCCGGAUUCACUGGGUUUAAAGGGUGCGUAGGCGGGUAGGUAAGUCAGUGGUGAAAUCCUGGAGCUCAACUCCAGAACUGCCAUUGAUACUAUCUAUCUUGAAUAUUGUGGAGGUAAGCGGAAUAUGUCAUGUAGCGGUGAAAUGCUUAGAUAUGACAUAGAACACCCAUUGCGAAGGCAGCUUACUACGCAUAUAUUGACGCUGAGGCACGAAAGCGUGGGGAUCAAACAGGAUUAGAUACCCUGGUAGUCCACGCCCUAAACGAUGGAUACUCGACAUACGCGAUACACUGUGUGUGUCUGAGCGAAAGCAUUAAGUAUCCCACCUGGGAAGUACGUUCGCAAGAAUGAAACUCAAAGAAAUUGACGG